UGAGUUUGAUCAUGGCUCAGAUUGAACGCUGGCGGCAGGCCUAACACAUGCAAGUCGAGCGGUAGCAGGACUAGCUUGCUAGUUGCUGACGAGCGGCGGACGGGUGCGUAACACGUAGGAAUCUGCCCGGUAGUGGGGGAUAGCCCGGAGAAAUCCGGAUUAAUACCGCAUACGCCUUACGAGGGAAAGGAGGGGCCUCUUCGGAGCCUUUCGCUAUCGGAUGAGCCUGCGUCGGAUUAGCUAGUUGGUGGGGUAAAGGCCUACCAAGGCGACGAUCCGUAGCUGGUCUGAGAGGAUGAUCAGCCACACUGGGACUGAGACACGGCCCAGACUCCUACGGGAGGCAGCAGUGGGGAAUAUUGCACAAUGGGGGAAACCCUGAUGCAGCCAUGCCGCGUGUGUGAAGAAGGCUCUAGGGUUGUAAAGCACUUUCAGCGAGGAGGAAAGGUUGCUGGUUAAUACCCAGCGGCUGUGACGUUACUCGCAGAAGAAGCACCGGCUAACUCCGUGCCAGCAGCCGCGGUAAUACGGAGGGUGCGAGCGUUAAUCGGAAUUACUGGGCGUAAAGCGUGCGUAGGCGGCCAUGUAAGUUGGAUGUGAAAGCCCCGGGCUC
rnacentral:rRNA from 1 species